GUCUCUCGCUGCCGCCGGAGUUCCAGGUCUCGACUUCAUGCUCGACUUCACUUCUCUGCUCCAGGAGGCCAGCCUGUGUGGCCCUGUGACCUGCAAGGUAUUGGAGAGCCACAGCUAAGACUCCAGGAACCCCUGGAAGCCUAGAAAUGGGACUGUUGACAUUUAGGGAUGUGGCCAUAGAAUUCUCUCUGGAGGAGUGGCAAUGCCUGGACACUGCACAGCAGAAUUUAUAUAGGAAUGUGAUGUUAGAGAACUACAGAAACCUGGCCUUCCUGGGUAUUGCUGUCUCUAAGCCAGACCUGAUUACUUGUCUGGAGCAAGGAAAAGAGCCCUGGAAUAUGAAGCAACAUGAGAUGGUGGAUGAACCUCCAG
rnacentral:sRNA from 1 species